rnacentral:rRNA from 1 species
GAACGCUGGCGGCAGGCCUAACACAUGCAAGUCGAGCGGUAGCACAGAGAGCUUGCUCUCGGGUGACGAGCGGCGGACGGGUGAGUAAUGUCUGGGAAACUGCCUGAUGGAGGGGGAUAACUACUGGAAACGGUAGCUAAUACCGCAUAACGUCGCAAGACCAAAGUGGGGGACCUUCGGGCCUCAUGCCAUCAGAUGUGCCCAGAUGGGAUUAGCUAGUAGGUGGGGUAACGGCUCACCUAGGCGACGAUCCCUAGCUGGUCUGAGAGGAUGACCAGCCACACUGGAACUGAGACACGGU